rnacentral:rRNA from 1 species
GACGGAGGAUGCAAGCGUUAUCCGGAAUGAUUGGGUGUAAAGCGUCCGCAGGUGGCAAUUCAAGUCUGCUGUCAAAGACCGGGGCUUAACUUCGGAAAGGCAGUGGAAACUGAACAGCUAGAGUAUGGUAGGGGCAGAGGGAAUUCCUGGUGUAGCGGUGAAAUGCGUAGAGAUCAGGAAGAACAUCGGUGGCGAAGGCGGGUCUCCGCUGGGCGAUGACUGACGCUGAGGAGCGAAAGCGUGGGGAGCGAACAGG